UGGGGAAUUUUGGACAAUGGGCGCAAGCCUGAUCCAGCAAUGCCGCGUGUGUGAAGAAGGCCUUCGGGUUGUAAAGCACUUUUGUCCGGAAAGAAAUGGCUCUGGUUAAUACCUGGGGUCGAUGACGGUACCGGAAGAAUAAGGACCGGCUAACUACGUGCCAGCAGCCGCGGUAAUACGUAGGGUCCAAGCGUUAAUCGGAUUUACUGGGCGUACAGGGUGCGUAGGCGGUUUUGUAAGACGGAUGUGAAAUCCCCGGGCUUAACCUGGGAACUGCAUUCGUGACUGCAAGGCUAGAGUAUGGCAGAGGGGGGUAGAAUUCCACGUGUAGCAGUGAAAUGCGUAGAGAUGUGGAGGAACACCGAUGGCGAAGGCAGCCUCCUGGGCCAGCACUGACACUCAUGCACGAAAGCGUGGGGAGCAAAACA
rnacentral:rRNA from 1 species